rnacentral:rRNA from 1 species
AGAGUUUGAUCCUGGCUCAGGAUGAACGCCGGCGGUGUGCCUAAUACAUGCAAGUCGUACGCGUUGGCCCAACUGAUUUGAAGUGCUUGCACGGAUCUGACGUUGGUUUACCAACGAGUGGCGGACGGGUGAGUAACACGUAGGUAACCUGCCCAGAAGCGGGGGACAACACUUGGAAACAGGUGCUAAUACCGCAUAACAAUUCAAAUCGCAUGAUUUGAAUUUGAAAGAUGGUUUCGGCUAUCACUUCUGGAUGGACCUGCGGCGCAUUAGCUUGUUGGUGGGGUAACGGCCUACCAAGGCAGUGAUGCGUAGCCGAGUUGAGAGACUGAUCGGCCACAAUGGGACUGAGACACGGCCCAUACUCCUACGGGAGGCAGCAGUAGGGAAUCUUCCACAAUGGGCGCAAGCCUGAUGGAGCAACACCGCGUGAGUGAAGAAGGUUUUCGGAUCGUAAAGCUCUGUUGUUGAAGAAGAACGUGCAUGAGAGUAACUGUUCAUGCAGUGACGGUAUUCAACCAGAAAGUCACGGCUAACUACGUGCCAGCAGCCGCGGUAAUACGUAGGUGGCAAGCGUUAUCCGGAUUUAUUGGGCGUAAAGAGAGUGCAGGCGGUUUCUUAAGUCUGAUGUGAAAGCCUUCGGCUCAACCGAAGAAGUGCAUCGGAAACUGGGAAACUUGAGUACAGAAGAGGGCAGUGGAACUCCAUGUGUAGCGGUGGAAUGCGUAGAUAUAUGGAAGAACACCAGUGGCGAAGGCGGCUGCCUGGUCUGUAACUGACGCUGAGACUCGAAGGCAUGGGUAGCGAACAGGAUUAGAUACCCUGGUAGUCCAUGCCGUAAACGAUGAGUGCUAGGUGUUGGAGGGUUUCCGCCCUUCAGUGCCGGAGCUAACGCAUUAAGCACUCCGCCUGGGGAGUACGACCGCAAGGUUGAGACUCAAAGGAAUUGACGGGGGCCCGCACAAGCGGUGGAGCAUGUGGUUUAAUUCGAAGCUACGCGAAGAACCUUACCAGGUCUUGACAUCUUGCGCCAACCCUAGAGAUAGGGCGUUUCCUUCGGGAACGCAAUGACAGGUGGUGCAUGGUCGUCGUCAGCUCGUGUCGUGAGAUGUUGGGUUAAGUCCCGCAACGAGCGCAACCCUUGUUACUAGUUGCCAGCAUUAAGUUGGGCACUCUAGUGAGACUGCCGGUGACAAACCGGAGGAAGGUGGGGACGACGUCAGAUCAUCAUGCCCCUUAUGACCUGGGCUACACACGUGCUACAAUGGACGGUACAACGAGCAGCGAACUCGCGGGGGCAAGCAAAUCUCUUAAAACCGUUCUCAGUUCGGAUUGCAGGCUGCAACUCGCCCGCAUGAAGUCGGAAUCGCUAGUAAUCGCGGAUCAGCAUGCCGCGGUGAAUAAGUUCCCGGGCCUUGCACUCACCGCCCGUCA